GAGUUUGAUCAUGGCUCAGAUUGAACGCUGGCGGCAUGCCUUACACAUGCAAGUCGAACGGCAGCACGGGAGCAAUCCUGGUGGCGAGUGGCGAACGGGUGAGUAAUACAUCGGAACGUGCCCAAUCGUGGGGGAUAACGCAGCGAAAGCUGUGCUAAUACCGCAUACGAUCUACGGAUGAAAGCAGGGGACCGCAAGGCCUUGCGCGAAUGGAGCGGCCGAUGGCAGAUUAGGUAGUUGGUGGGGUAAAGGCUCACCAAGCCAACGAUCUGUAGCUGGUCUGAGAGGACGACCAGCCACACUGGGACUGAGACACGGCCCAGACUCCUACGGGAGGCAGCAGUGGGGAAUUUUGGACAAUGGGCGCAAGCCUGAUCCAGCCAUGCCGCGUGCAGGAUGAAGGCCUUCGGUUGUAAC
rnacentral:rRNA from 1 species